GGCGAAUCUCGGCGUCUGUUUACAGAAUUCAGAGAAGGAAGCUGAAGAGAAGAGAAUGGCGUCUGUGGUGAGAAGCAUUUUCCAGUCGAUUAAGGAAAAGGGGAUCGGAAACUUCCUCAAGGAGCUUAAACAAGAAGGAUACGUGAGGUGUCUCGCGGAUGGAAAUCUUCUGCAAACCAAGAUCCACAACAUUGGUGCAACACUUGUUGGUGUGGAUAAAUUUGGUAACAAAUAUUAUGAGAAGCUAGGCGAUACACAAUAUGGAAGACACCGGUGGGUGGAGUAUGCACAGAAGAAUCGUUACAAUGCUUCACAAGUUCCACCAGAAUGGCAUGGCUGGCUCCAUCACGUCACUGAUCACACUGGUGAUGAACUGCUACUGCUGAAACCAAAGAGGUACGGGAUUGAGCACAAGGAGAACUUUUCUGGUGAAGGUGAUGCAUACAUAUAUCACUCCAAGGGACACACUUUAAAUCCUGGACAGAGAGACUGGACUAGGUACCAAACUUGGCAACCCACCAAGAAGUAAUAGGUCUCAACUGCCAUAGUGCAGCUGGACAAUUAUAUGGAUUUUCUGCCAUGCUUCGUUAAUAAAAAAGUCCUCGUAUUGAACCUUUGGUUAUAAUCUAAGCACAUGUGUACCAUCAAAUAUCAGGUCGAUACACUUUGCUGUACAAUUUCUCAUCUUUGAUAUGGUUCUCAGGUUUUGAAUUGGAUCCAAAAUGUAGUCAUGCAUACUUUAUUCCAUCGCCGGGUUUGAAGUAUGAUUGUUAUUUUUU
rnacentral:misc_RNA from 1 species